UACGUAGGCAGCAAGCGUUGUUCGGAGUUACUGGGCGUAAAGAGUGCGUAGGUGGUGCCCUAAGUCUGUUGUGAAAUCUCCCGGCUUAACUGGGAGGGUGCGGUGGAAACUGGGGUGCUUGAGUGUGGGAGAGGUAAGCGGAAUUCCUGGUGUAGCGGUGAAAUGCGUAGAUAUCAGGAGGAACACCGGUGGUGUAGACGGCUUACUGGACCACGACUGACGCUGAGGCGCGAAAGCUAGGGGAGCAAACAGG
rnacentral:rRNA from 1 species